CAUAUGGAUUUAAUAGGAAAGCAAUUUGGUCUCGUUGACAAUAACUUAUUCAACUUACUAUGGAAUAAAAAUACAGACCAAAGUAUUAGCCCUAGGCCUUGCAGAACCUUAAUAAGCUUCUUAUGUAUUCUUAUGGAAUUCCACAGUUGUAAAGUAGGGAAUUUUUACUUUUGCUCUAGAGUCUUUAACUUUAGCUUAUUUCUGAAUCUAUAUGUCUGAAUUUGAUUCCCAAUACCAUGACUCCCAACUUUUCCUGCUUCCUAAAAACUUCAUAUGCAAAGAUUCUGAUUUUUUAAAUUGUUAUUACAGUUAUUAAUUCUUGAAAUUUAUUCCAUUCACAUAAUGUUCCUAAUAAUUCAAAAAUGUAAUCUUUUCUGGUUUCUCAGAAUAUUCUCCACAAUCAUUACUAGCUGAAGCACAAGGCAUCCUGAAGGAUUUAGUUUAGGAGUCCAGUGUCUAUGGACCUAGAAACCAGAAAUCUGAUGACUUUGUGAAAAGAGCCUUAAGACUUAAAGAGAAUUUCUAUCAGAAAGAGAACUGAUAGCAGCAUUCUUUGUUGUAUGCAAUGGCUCACUAGGAAAAGGAGAAGGUACUCCAGGGAAGAAUUUGGUGAUAUACAAAGAAAAGACAGACCAGAGAAGAAGAAGAAGAAGAAGAA